rnacentral:lncRNA from 1 species
GUAGAGGUGGAGAGAGACCAACGACCGGGGGGGGGGAUCGUCCGACGACAAUCAUAGUAGUUUUCUAGCGCUUGUUAAGGGACUUCUACGCAUUUAACGGGCAAUUGAAAAGGGGGAACUAUCCUAGCGUCGAGAAAGUCUCUCUAUAGCGGUGGAUGGUUGCAGGAAGCGGGCUACAAUCUAGGCAGCUCAAACAAUCAAUAUGGUUUUCUCUGUGUUGGAGACGACUUAUCAGCAUGACAGUCUGAUGUACCUGCUGGACUACUUACUCCCUGCCAAGCAUCUUCUAUACAAACUACAGCAGCAUGCCUGUCCCUUCUGUUGAAGAAGAGAGAGGUCUUACAGUGAUAGUGGACAGCAGACAGUCUCCCCCCUCUACUCUCUGCCUCGCUGCACUGAAACAAUUCCGGACUGUUCCCCUGAGUGUGGAUAAACACAGAGAGCUGAUGACGAGCGUCCUGGUCAACCAACAGCUAACUGAGCUGCAGCUGAAGGGCGGGGCCUGGCUGGCAGGACUGACCACAUCAGGACUGGCAAAGAGAUCCCCGGACUGCAGGGAUGCCUUGGCUGUGACCUCAAACCUCUAUGAUAGUGUGGACAACGCCCUCCACCGCCUCAUCCAGAUGUCCAAUCACAGAGUCAGCGCCCUGGAAGCCCUCGGUCGAUUGGCUGCCAUGGUGGACAAACUGGAAAAGCAAGCUCUAUCUAUUAUGGUGUAGGAUGCUGUGUUCAGGGAGGCAGUACGUGGCCGUGUUAAAGGGUGUGGAGGAGACCUACCUGCCCCUCUUGGAGGGUCCAGACACCCCGUCCUCCCUCCGGGGGAAAGCAGGCCUCCUUUUCCACAACUUGGCCAGCUUCAGCACCUUCCACUCGCAGUACCUCCUCCCAACCAUGGAGGGAGCUCUACUGCAGAGUCUGCUGAAACAGGACCUCUUCAGUAAACAUAGAGAGGAGUUUCUCCAGUACUCUCACUACAUAUAGUGAGGACCAAACCAGAAGUGGACUCCUUGUUGGUCACUUAGGCUAGACUUCUUCAAGCUCAGACUCCCUGCCACCCCUCCUCUCUCCCUCCUGUCCUUCCCCCACUGUCUCCAGGCCCCUACACAGACUGGAACAGUACUGUGAUGUUCUAGAGGAGCUGGGAAGGUUAAACCCCGCCUCUGACUCCUUCCUCUCCGUCCUCAGACACGCCCAGCGCCACGGUGAGGACCUCCGGGCCAGCGACCUCAUCGUCAGGUGUCCGGUCCCGGUGGCGGAGCGUGGAGAUCUGGUGCGUCAGGUGUGUGGGAGGACCAGGAGGAAGAAUACCGGGGUGUGUUCCUCUAUCAACCCCUCAUCAUCUUCACCAAGCAGAAGAGCCCGGGACACACCGCCUACAGCUUCAAUCACAGCAUCAAGUGUCAGAGUGGAGAGGAGAGGGCAGCCUGGACACACGAUAUCGCUCAGCUCCUUUGGACCCACACCAUACACAAUACAGGUGGGACGGUAGUGUCCCAUACCCCCAGAGAGGUUUUAAGGCAGCAGACAAAAUUCCUUUGUCCUCACACUAUGGAGAACCGGCCUCAGAACAUUAACAUGCAAUAAAUGGACUUUGGGACAAUAGGUUUCGUCAGCCACAAUGGUGCUAAUGACGAUAGAUGUAAUAUGAAAAUGAAUGUCGUUUUGUUAUGUUAUUAAAAGUUAAAGGACGACGUUAUAACAAAAACAUUGUAACUUUAAGAGUUGUCCUAAUAUGUGCCUGAUGUUUGCAUAUUGUACAUUGUGUGGAAAAUGUCCAGAUCAAAGAGAAUGUUUUUGUAAAGAUGAAAUGUGAAGUUAGUUGACUAAAUUGGAACUGAGUAAAAUCCAGACCUUGCCUCGUAACUUGGUACGCCCAGAGAAUUGCCCUAAAGGCGGAAACGCCCAUUUCUGACCCGAGGGUAUAAAAUAUGUGAGUUAAGAAUUAACAUAUUAGACUAAGUGACCCUGAGCUGCAGCCAAGGUCUGAGUGGUCAGCAAACCCAAAACGCAACACAAGGUUGAAGAGGACAAAGGAACCUUUUUACAACCUAUGCUACGGACAAGUAGCCAUAUCUAACGGGGGUGAAUGAAGCAGGACCACCUGGUCACCACUCUCCAAGGAAUCAUGUGUCUACACUGUUUUCCUUCCCACGCUGGAACCAUCCCCACGCUGAUUAGCCCUCCUCCGAAGACCCCUUUUCAGAGCAAGGACGAGGAAACAGACUACUAAAAGAAAGGACACUGACAUCGUGAGAAGAAACAGAGAGUUACACCCGGUAACCGAAGAUGGACCGUCAUCAGAGAAGUCGGAACCACGGUCCACGCAGAGACCCCCCAUUGGAGACCUUCAACACUUCACAGUAGCUGUUCAGACUCCUCCUCUGUUGGCAGUCAGAAGGAGGGGGAAUCCCCAGCAUCUGGGAGGGGACACACACACAGAAACUGGAUUCCGGACUCCAAAACAACUUACAUUUUACAUUUACAUAACUUCUCUAUUGGAAGUGUAAACCUGGAGAUAAAGCAAACAAAGAGACAUUACGGCUCUAACUAACCCAGGAUCUAGCAUCAACAGAGCCUGCUGUGGAUGGCCAUGUUGGAUCGGCCGGACACAGUUGCUCGCAGAGUCAUUGAUACCGUGGACACUCCAGCCACACAGAAGGAGCAUUGUCCUCCCUCUGCGGCUCCCCGCUAGGCCAAACCACUCUGUCUGAACCACUGACUGGCAGCCAUGGCCUAGUGUGUGUGUGUGUGUGUGUGUGUGUGUGUGUGUGUGUGUGU